CUCUCCUCGGCUCCCCGCCGGGCACAGGCUGUCGGAGGGGAUCCAGCGGGAGGAGGCUACUGCGGUCCGCAGAGGCCGUCUCUGGUCUCUAGUCCCCGUGCCUGCGCGCCCCCCUCCCCCACGCGAUGCCCCCCGGGCGGCUGGGAAAGGACUCUGGGGCAGACUCCAGACCUGGGAGGGUGCGGCCGGGCUCACGCGGGACUCUUGGGCGGGAGGGAGGCCGUCCCGUUCCACGUUGCUGCCGGGGUGCAGCAGGCAGCGCUCCAGGGCCCAGCGGUCCGCCACCCCCCAGCCCCCCUCCCUCCUCGAGGGUCGGGGCACAGAGGAGGCAGACACCCCUGAGGCCUUGUGCCAGGUAAUUACCAAGCAAAUUCCGGGCGAUCUCCUCCCCUCCCCCGCGGCAGUGCCUGCUGCGCGUUCCCUGAUUCGGGCCCCGGCUGCGCCACCAGCGCAGGUAACCUGCGGGGCCCCGUAAUUGCUCUGGAGUUGCCCCGGACUGCGCAAGAUUCAUGAAGGGAUGUUAGACCGGGGCCAAGUUCCUGGAGACAGGCUCCACACUGGUCCUGAGAGAAGAAGCAGAAGAUUUCAGCGAGAGGGACAGAAUUUAAAAGGACGACUUCCCCAUUUCUUCCUGCUCCUCUGGAUCUUAGACAUCUUUCAACACUCAGCUCAAGGCCCAUGUGGCCUGGGAGGCCUUCCAGUACCAGCUUGGGGAAGGCAGGAGACCACACCUGUGUUUGUAAUAUCACAGACAUGCUGGGAUCCGCAAAUGUGUCAUUAGCCCACCGGGUUGGCACGGAACAGCUGCAUCUGAAGUUCUGAGGAGGACUGGCCAGGCAUGUUGUAAAACGACCCUCAGAUGUGAUCUGUCUGAUGCUUUUCUCCUGGUUAGCCUGGAGUUCUGGGUUUGGGGGAGGAAGACCGCAGAGGCAAAGUGCCAUUUUCAUCACGUCACAUCACUGGUAUAUCAAAGCACUGGCCAUCGUUAGAAUCCACACGUGUGAAGCCAGCUCCAGAGCCCUUUGAUGAUGGGGCUACAUCCCUUCCCAGCAUCUACUUGCUUCCACACAUGCAGGUGCCAUCUCUCUCCCAUCUCUCCUGAUUCCAGAUCAUCUGACCCUGAUUCCCCAAAUGAAGCCCCUGUCCAAAAUUGGUCCCAUGGCUACUCAGAUUGUAUGAGGACCCACAAGGAAAUUUCUCCUUUCAAGGCAUUUCAAGAUAAAGGAAGCUCAUGAAAAGUUCCAGAUAAAGAUGCAGGAUGCUGAAGAAUCAUUAACAUUUACUGAGUGCCUACUAAGUGCCAGGCACUGUUCUAAAUGUUUUACAUGCAAAACUCACUUAACAGGGAGAAGGUCCUGCUGCCGGGACAGCCAAGCCCCCAUAGGCCGCUCCACAUACUUCUGUGCAGGCUGACAAAAUGCAAGAAGGUACCUGUGCAAACAUGGCUUUUAAUCAUGGUCAGGAAGACACGUGACCACUGGGUCCAUUUCAAUGACUUCAUCCAUUCUGCUCAACCUCCUGACUCUGCCCCUAUUGCUAUUUUGACAUUCAUUCACAUACUAGCCAAAGCUUUCCUGUCCCCACUACCUCCAUGUAGGCUGCAGCUGGAUAAACCAUCACUUAUACCCAUUUUCUGGAAAGCUCUUCUUUGGGCAAGUGCUCAUUGAGUUUCUGAGAAAAGCUGCCAUGGGGGCCAACGUACCACCUAGGGAAGAAACCCAUCAGCAAGGACAGGCUCGGAGCUCCCCAGAACAGCGUCUGAUUGUCAAAAUGUCAUGUUGGAGAAACGAUAACCUUACCCUGCUUAAAGAGAAACCUCUUGCGUGUCACCAACAAUCAUGCAAACUAGACUCUUAAAAUGAGAUUAGGUCAAAGUACAACCAAUCAAAGCGGGAGUCUCAGUUGCUCUAUGACUUCAUUUAAAGUUUCAGUGCCAGCAGGAAGAAUAAAGAAAUCAAUAUUACAUUUUCUUCAUCAUCAAUUUUGCUUUUUGCUAAAUGAAAAUGCUUUCAUUCCCUCCCUGGUUCCUUCCACCAUGGAAGAUGUUCCUUGUCUCCCCCCCACUCUCCCCCGUUACUAUCUUCACCCCCAUCCUGUUAUGCCAUGUAGGACGGUGCCGUACGUGUGCCUUUUUGGACUAAGCACUUAAGAGUAUUGCAGAGGAUGUCAUCUUAAUUCACCAAAGAUUUGCGAGUAUGACAGUCCUCGCUCAGCUGGCCUUCCUGCUGCAGCUGGGCUCUGACCGUGUUCUGCUCUAUGGAUGGAGCGUGGAUAACUUACUCCAAACAGCUCUUGAGGCCCCAAGGGCACAUCCCCCCUCAAUGCCCUGUGCCAGGCUGUAGUAACAGACCCUGUAGAAGGGAAUUUGAUAGGCAAGGUGAGCCCUUCUUGGAUUCAUUCACGGGCUUGGGUUUACAGAAGCAGCAAAGGGACCUCAUUAUAAGAUGUUCUCACCUCCUCCGUUACAGAAGAACUGUAAGGCUUUUGCUGAACAACACAGUGGUCUCGUUCCCACAGUGGUCCCCACAGCAGUGACCUUCAAGGGCUCUCAACCAGCUCCCACUCUAUUGGCGCUAAGAUGGUCCCAAUCCAGGACUUGACUCACUCGGCAGUAUUUGCGAAGAGAGACAGAAACAAGAAUUUUGAAAUAGAGGAAGGAAAAAUAAUACAAGUCCACGGGGCUGGAAACUCAUUUCCUGAGGAGUAGAAACACAUCGCAUGCUCUCUGGGACUCACCGAGCUCCAGGAAGCUCGACCAGUCACUUAAUAAGUCAUUGAGGACGUGUGGUUUAAUUAACUCGCCCAAAAUUCCUCCUUUCCCUUUCUCACUUUUGCUAUUAAUAUUUUUCGAUAUCUGAUAAUGCAGUGUAGUUAAUUCUUUCUGGCUUUAUAAUGAACACUGCCAUAAUGAAAAAGGUUAGCAGUGCUUCAGGCAGCUUUUAAUUAUCCAGCCGAGCAGGUAAAAGCACUUUAUUCUUCUCUUUUUUUCCCCUUACUUAGCAAUUAAUGGAGGAGCUCAGUGGCACUUACUGUACCUUUUUUGUUUUCUAAUGGAUGAUGCGGCACGGAGCAGGGAGGCCUUACUGUACCCCUGUUACUACCAAGUGCAAACGCUGAAUAUUGCACUGCUGCGAUUCAGGUCUCUGGUUUGCGGGGCGGAAGCAAUUCUGCUGCCGGCUGAAGGCUUCUCUAAUUAAAAAGCCGAGUUACCUGGAGUUGUUGCUACCAAUUCCCUGUCUCGCAGUUUCCUGUCUUUGCAUCUGCACCCAGAGCCCUCCAGAAUGCUUUUAUAGGCCAGGUGGCCUUGCUUUAUGGCAGACAUUUUCCUGGUUCUACUCAAUUGGGCCACCUUCCUUCUAUCCUCCCUGCCCGCCACGGCGAACAACAGCCUUGGGAUUGUUCUCCUUACUUUAUAGACAGGGAAACUGAGGCCCAAGGAGGUUGUCUGCUUGGCCAAGAGCCCUUCCUUCCGUGCUUAAUGACGCCCCUCCUCGAGCUAACUGUGAUACCCCCUUAUAGGAGGAAAGAGUUUAAAAAUUAUGUGAGCUGCUUCGAAGUUUACUAAUCCAUAAAGUCACAGGGAGCAGAUUUUUAUUACAGGUGGAAUUAUUUGCAUGAUUCCUCUUCAUUAGGCAACCAUAUAAAACAAAACAAAAAAAUUGUUCAGGGAGCGUAUGUCACAUCUUUCUGUGGGUUGAGAAAGGCUGACUGUCCCACAGACUGCAUAUUCUGGCCCCUUUAGAGGGGCCGGACCAAGCUUUAUAAGAGUCCAGGGCCUUCUGAAGAAGAAGGGAUAGAUAGAGACCCCACACCCUCUAAGGUCUAGAGUGGGGACAAUCUCAAGGUGUACCCGUGGUCCUGUGCAAAGUCUACCUGAAGGGAAGGACGCCAGAAGCAUAAGGCGGGAAUAUCCCAGGGAUCAAGGGCAACCAGAGCUAGUGAUCUGGGCUUGACCCCAAACUGCUGGGUUUCUGGAAUGGGCCAGCAGCUACACUUGCCUGGCAAUGUACGCUGGGAAUGAGGACCGGCAUCUGAGAAAUGAAGAGAGAUCACUGUUAGGGCAGGAGCCCUUUGGAAGGUGGUUUACGAUGUGACAUCACUCAGGGUACUUGUCUAAUUGUCUCUGUUUUCCAAUAUCUCUUUAGGGAUAAGCUUUGAAAAAAGGGGAGAUAAAAGGUAAAUUUUGGAGCAUCAUUUGUGCCAAAUAUUUGCUCCAUUCUCUUCCCACCCACAUUCUAGGUUCACAAACUUCCGGCCAGAAAAAAAUCUCACCAGUGCCACUGUGGCAAUAGGACUUGAACAUUGAACUCAUCAGAUCCUUGUUACACCCCAUGAGGUUUUGGCUGCUUGUGGUCCCCUUCAUGUCAUCUUAACUUAGUUGGGGUUAAAAUUAUCACUCACUUUUAUUGCCAGUGCAAACUUUAAGCAGUAGCAAUGGUAGUGUUGGAUAUGGAAACUUGUCUAUAGGCAGCAAGAAAUGGUCAGACCUCCAAAUCUACCAGGCUCAAUAGCCACCUGAGUUUUAGGGAGAAUUCUAGAAUAUUACCUUGCAGCUCAGCGCAGGUCCCAUUGUGACCUCACGCCCACAGGGCUGGGUUAGACUAGUCUUCAGCUGCCAACUUGACGAGGCUGGUGGAGAGAGCUCACCUUCCAGUCCUCCACUCAACAUCUGGGGACAGAAUUGGCCCCAGGGGACUCCAUUUCACAGAGGUUCUUGGGCAACUUGGGGGAGGGUUAGUAGCUUGAGGAUAUGCUGGCUUUUCUUUAAGUACUCAAGUUGAUGAUAUCUGUCAAAACACUUAUUUUAUAUUUGAAAAGCACUUUGAAGUUUUCAAAACAAUUGCAGAACCAUUAUCACACCUGAUUCAAGUAACACUUUCAAGUGUCAUGAAACUACUCCCCAUUUUACAGAUGAAAAAGUCAGAGCAACAGAGGUCACUUCCCUCUUUAGAGCAGCGUUUCUUAAGAAAAGGUGGUUCUGCCCCCCCAGGGAAUAUGUGGAAAUGUUCUGAGAUAUUUUAACUCCUGGGUGGCAGGGGAGAUGCCGUGCUACUGGCAUCUAGUGGGUAGAGGCCAGAGAUGCUGUUAAACAUCUUGUAAUGCACAAGACAGCCCCCCAAGACAAUUAUCUGGCCAAAAGUAUUCACAGCCUGGAACUGGACAAACCCUGAUCUAAUGGCACGCAGGCUCUUCCAUGAAAGACUGAGCUUCUGGUGGAUCAUCAUUUGUAUUACUUACUGGGGCCUGUGUAAGCAGUGAACCAAGGAUCGGGUGCCUGAGUCCCAAAUCUGCCUUCACGAGUAACUUGCCAGUGAACUUGAGCGUCUCAUUCUCCAUCUGCCAGGUGCGGUGAUGAUGCUUGCCAAGCAGUCUCACAGGGUUCUGUUCUUUAUCCUGUGCCUGAGGUUGGACCCGAGGAAAAUUAGCCCACCUCUUUGCUUCUCGGAUACCUCGGAACGAUUAGCCCUGAAUAUAGGAGCUGUACCCCUUAGAAAUGGGAGUAGACCCUGGGCCCUUCUAGAUUGUUUCUAGAAAUAGGCUCAGUCUUCAGAUGCAGGCCUCACCAGAGCCCUUCCUUGGCAGCCUGCCUGUCCCGGUAGGGGAAGUGGUCCCUGGGAGAGGGAGCUAGUCUCGGAGACAGUUUGUCUGCCUUCUCUCCGAAGCUUCCUGUGUAUGGGAAAUGAAUAGAUCCCAUGCACACCCUCCCUCCUCCUUGGCAGGCUACUCCCUGCCCUCCCCGUGAGGUUCCAGGAGCCCGUGACAUUAUCUGCAAACUCCCAUGAGAAGCUCCAGACCACGGCCGUGAGCCCCGAGAAUGAUGAAUAUGCAGGAAGGGACGGUGUGCCAGACAGGGGAGCCAGGGCUGGGCGGGGGCAACCAUGCAGGGCAAGGGAGCCAGGGCUGGACUGGUGGGGAGGGGCUCCCAGGGUCCGAGCACCCUUGGAGAGGGCCCCAUCACUGGCAGGCCCAUUUGCCCUCCUAAAGAGCUAGAAGCUGUCAUGUGUACGUCCGCAUUCUCCGGAGCUGUGGACUCCGGAGUCUUAGAAAUCCUCCUGGCGGCUGAGCCUCCCACUGGCCGCAAUUAACCUGUUCAAUACUAGGUCAGCAACUUUGCAGAGGAUGUUUGCUGAUGGCAUUCUACUGGGUGCACUGGUACUGUUGACUCCGGUCCACAGAAAGCCUGACACGUCCCUUGUGGCAGACGAAAGCUAGGAGCAAAUUCUGCCUGCAUCACAGAAUCCUUAGGCUGAGUGUGACAUUUGGAGGUCACCUGGUCCAUCCCUGUGCCUGCAGGCAGGCCUGGACAUAAACCGGCCUAGACAGAUGAGAAUCUGUUCUCUCUCUCUGCCUUCAAAAACCUAAGGACAUUUCAUGUAUCCCUUAGUGUCCAAUAUCCCUCAGCCCUGAGACUGUUCCUAGAGCUCAUCUGUAUUCCAGGGGUUCUCUGAUAGGUGUCUCAAGGCAGAGGUGAGGAACAACCAUCGUGUGCUGUAUGCAGUGGGUGCUACAGUGUGUUCCCACGGGCUUCUCAGAGCCCACCAUGCACGCGUCUCUCUUCCAACUCAGGGUUCCGUGAUAUCACGUUGGUAGUUUGUGGUCAGCCACGGGACAAGUAUUUACACCACGGAAAUUGGCAAACACUGCCGAUGAGGAGCAGCCUUUUCCCCCCAGAGGACAAGUUGCUCAACAUUCACUAGCACACAACUAGUUGUAUAGAGCAAUACUCCGGCAUAGAACUUGGGUAACAGUCAUCCUCUGUACCCUUCACUUUAGUGUCUUGAAGCUCCCUCACUGGCGGGACCAUAAUUUCCCCAGAGCAGAGGCUGUGCCUUGCAGGGGACUUUUUUUUACAGCAGCUUGCAUGGCGCCCGUUUGCCAAAGGAAUGAAGGACACAUAUCAAAUCAUCAGGCUGAGUGGCUGUGGGUUUUCGUUGUCUUAGGACUCAUGCACUCACACUGUUUGAGUCAGAUUGGCCAAACAGGAGGUACAUUUAUCUGACUUGACUUCAGAGUUGUACCAUUUAAUUCAAGCAGGAUUAAUGAAACAUCUACUCUAUGCUCACCCUGUCCUAGGCUCUGGAGCCCGGGAGAAGGGGAAGUUUAUGGGCACCAGCGUCCCAUCCCUCCUAUUCUCAAAUGACUUACACUUUGAUUUGGAAGAUAGGCAUACGAGCAGACAGUUAGAAAUCAAUAGAGAUAUCUAUGAAGGUUGUGCCUGAUGGAUUUGGGGUGGUCAUAAAACACAGCAGUAAGAACAUGGGACACUGGGGUCAGGUUGCCUGUGUUCGAAUUCCAUUAGUAGUUAUGUGACCUUGGAAGGCUUGCUUAACACCCCCAGCCUUGCCACCCCCCCACUCCCACAACUCAGAUUCCUCAUUCUAAGGAUAUAAUGAGAUCUAUCUCAUAGAGUAGUUAUCAGAGUCCGUGCAUUCAUGUUUAGAAACCAUUUAGCACACUGCCUCGGAUACAGCGAGUAUAAAAUAUAUAGUAGUUAUUAUUUGUAUCUUACAGUCUAAUGGCCUCUUUUUAAAAAUGAAUACACUGAGGCCCAGGAGUGGGAAAAUGACUAUUUGCCAAUUAGUGGCAGGCCUGAGAUUAGCAGCAGUAACUAACUUUAUCGAUAUAGGGGAAGGGACACGCCACAGUAACAAAUCUAUCCCCAAUCUCUAUGCCUUUGCACAAUAAAUGUGACUGUCCGUGCAAAGGCAGAGGCAGACCAGGCGACCCUGCCCCAUUCUGUAGCUGCCCCUGCUGGAGCCCAUGGUCUCCAAGGCCACCGCAGCAGGGGCAGACAGAGGUGGAGGAGGUGUGCCAGCUGCUUCGGCCAGUCCAUUGGUCAGAACCAGUUACGUGGCCCCCGCCCAAGAGUGUCUGGGGGCGCAGCCUGACGUGAGGUUAUUUGGUGAACACAGCGCAUGCCACGCUAACAGUACAGAAGAUAUCCCAAGGUGGCAUAUGAUUAAGUGCUUAAUAGUGGACAGCUACUCUGUGCGACAGUCUGUGAUUAAGUAGCCCGGUGAGGGGUACAUACAAGUGCGGCAGCAGAUUAGGGAAGGGGCAGAUAAGGAAGGACAAGAGGGCUGAGCAUCUUUUGCUGAAGGACUAGCACUAGCUCAGCACCUAGCACUAGAACAAGACCUAAAGGGCGGGUAGAACCAGGAGCUGCAGAGAGGAGGGGUCCCCCCUCAAAGCGGCAUCUCCUGCAGUGGUGAUCCUGCUGUCGACCCCCCAGUCACCAGGAGUUGCAGUGGAGGCAGAAGGAGGUGGGCCCUGAUCACUGGCAACUCCCCAGACCUCAGGCUCCUGGAGAAACUACCACAGAGCUCAGCUUCCUUCCUAGGUCCUGAAAUAAAGGCUUCCCGGUGGAGCACAGGGUGGUAGAAAGAGGGCUGGGUGCAGAAUCAACAAAUGCAGAUUUCCUGUUGUUCCCACUUCGGCCUCUGACUCCUGUGUGACUUUGCACAGCCUCUCCACCUCUCUGGGCUGCGGUCCUUAUUGGUGAGAUGCAGAGUUCCCUCAGGCCCUUGACAGAUCUGAUUCUCCAGGACUCGGGGCUUCUCGUAGCCAGCGUUUAUAGGAUUAAUUGGGCGUUAAAUAUUUGGAGGGCUAGUCUGGGGCUCUCCUCUGGGGGAAAGAUCCAAAGAGGAAAGGAAUUCGCCAGGGCUCUGGCCGCUUAGAGGGUGAACAGGACGGAACAUGGCGUAUGCAAAUCUUUGGUGAGGGGCCAACCUUCCAUCAGAACGGAGCCGGAGCCGGGAUAUAGAGGCAGCCCCGGAAGCCGGGCCCAGCCUCAUAAAUCUCAGCACUGGCAUAUCAAUCAGUCAGUUUAAUCGGCUACAAUACUUUUUUCUUUUGGAAAUAAAUAAAGAUGAAGGCAAGAGAUACCACCCAAAGAGGAAACCCCAGAGCAGUGUGGAUAGUCACAUGGCCACCGAAUCCCGGAGCCGGACUCUGAUUAAUGGAGCAGGCUGGCUUUGAUAAAUCAGGUACCUCCAUCCAGUGGGUUUAGGCUCUUGUUUUCUAAAUGGGAACUUAAUGCUGUUCACUCAUUCAUAGGUAGGAUGCUGUGUCAGAAAGUUAAUAUAUAAAUCUGUUAUUUACAAGGGU